UACGAAGGGGGCUAGCGUUGCUCGGAAUCACUGGGCGUAAAGCGCACGUAGGCGGACUCUUAAGUCGGUGGUGAAAUCCUGGAGCUCAACUCCAGAACUGCCUUCGAUACUGAGAAGCUUGAGUUCGGGAGAGGUGAGUGGAACUGCGAGUGUAGAGGUGAAAUUCGUAGAUAUUCGCAAGAACACCAGUGGCGAAGGCGGCUCACUGGCCCGAUACUGACGCUGAGGUGCGAAAGCGUGGGGAGCAAACAGG
rnacentral:rRNA from 1 species